UUUUUGGAGAGUUUGAUCCUGGCUCAGGACGAACGCUGGCGGCGUGCCUAAUACAUGCAAGUCGAGCGAAUCUGACGGGAGCUUGCUCCCUGAUGAUUAGCGGCGGACGGGUGAGUAACACGUGGGUAACCUGCCUGUAAGACUGGGAUAACUCCGGGAAACCGGGGCUAAUACCGGAUAACUUUUUUCUUCGCAUGAGGGAGAAUUGAAAGAUGGCUUCGGCUAUCACUUACAGAUGGACCCGCGGCGCAUUAGCUAGUUGGUGAGGUAACGGCUCACCAAGGCGACGAUGCGUAGCCGACUUGAGAGGGUGAUCGGCCACACUGGGACUGAGACACGGCCCAGAC
rnacentral:rRNA from 2 species